rnacentral:rRNA from 1 species
UACGGGGGGGGCAAGCGUUGUUCGGAAUUACUGGGCGUAAAGCGCACGUAGGCGGAUUUGCCAGUCAGGGGUGAAAUCCCGGGGCUCAACCUCGGAACUGCCUUUGAUACAGCAAGUCUUGAGUUCGAGAGAGGUGGGUGGAACUGCGAGUGUAGAGGUGAAAUUCGUAGAUAUUCGCAAGAACACCAGUAGCGAAGGCGGCUGACUGGUCCGGUUCUGACGCUGAGGCGCGAAAGCGUGGGGAGCAAACAGG